rnacentral:rRNA from 1 species
AUUGAACGCUGGCGGCAUGCUUUACACAUGCAAGUCGAACGGUAACAGGUCUUCGGAUGCUGACGAGUGGCGAACGGGUGAGUAAUACAUCGGAACAUGCCUAGUAGUGGGGGAUAACUUCUCGAAAGAGUGGCUAAUACCGCAUGAGAUCUACGGAUGAAAGCAGGGGAUCGCAAGACCUUGUGCUACUAGAGCGGCCGAUGGCAGAUUAGGUAGUUGGUGGGAUAAAAGCUUACCAUGCCGACGAUCUGUAGCUGGUCUGAGAGGACGAUCAGCCACACUGGGACUGAGACACGGCCCAGACUCCUACGGGAGGCAGCAGUGGGGAAUUUUGGACAAUGGGCGCAAGCCUGAUCCAGCAAUGCCGCGUGCAGGAUGAAGGCCUUCGGGUUGUAAACUGCUUUUGUACGGAACGAAAAGCCCUGGGUUAAUACCCUGGGGUCAUGACGGUACCGUAAGAAUAAGCACCGGCUAACUACGUGCCAGCAGCCGCAGUAAAAC